ensembl:misc_RNA Metazoa_SRP Metazoan signal recognition particle RNA
GCUGGGCAUUGUGGCGAGCGCCUGUAAUCCAAGCUACUUGGGAGGCUGAGGCAGGAGAAUUGCUUGAACUCAGGAAGUGGAGGUUGAAAUGAGUGGAGAUCAUGCCACUGCACUCCACUCCAGCCUGGGUAACAGAGCGAGCUUCUGUCUCAA